AGAGUUUGAUCCUGGCUCAGAUUGAACGCUGGCGGCAGGCUUAACACAUGCAAGUCGAACGGUAGCAGGAGAAAGCUUGCUUUCUUGCUGACGAGUGGCGGACGGGUGAGUAAUGCUUGGGAAUCUGGCUUAUGGAGGGGGAUAACUACGGGAAACUGUAGCUAAUACCGCGUAGAAUCGGAAGAUGAAAGUGCGGGACCGCAAGGCCGCAUGCCAUGAGAUGAGCCCAAGUGGGAUUAGGUAGUUGGUGGGGUAAAGGCCUACCAAGCCUGCGAUCUCUAGCUGGUCUGAGAGGAUGGCCAGCCACACUGGAACUGAGACACGGUCCAGACUCCUACGGGAGGCAGCAGUGGGGAAUAUUGCGCAAUGGGGGGAAUCCUGACGCAGCCAUGCCGCGUGAAUGAAGAGGGCCUUAAAAAAAAAAAGUUCUUUCGGUAUUGAGGAAGGAGUGUAUGUUAAUAGCAUACAUUAUUGACGUUAAAUACAGAAGAAGCACCGGCUAUCUCCGUGCCAGCAGCCGCGGUAAUACGGAGGGUGCGAGCGUUAAUCGGAAUAACUGGGCGUAAAGGGCACGCAGGCGGUUAUUUAAGUGAGGUGUGAAAGCCCCGGGCUUAACCUGGGAAUUGCAUUUCAGACUGGGUAACUAGAGUACUUUAGGGAGGGGUAGAAUUCCACGUGUAGCGGUGAAAUGCGUAGAGAUGUGGAGGAAUACCGAAGGCGAAGGCAGCCCCUUGGGAAUGUACUGACGCUCAUGUGCGAAAGCGUGGGGAGCAAACAGGAUUAGAUCCCCUGGUAGUCCGCGCUGUAAACCCUAUAAAGGGGGGGAUUGGGGAUUAGAGCUUGGCGCCCGUAGCUAACAAAAUAAAUCGUCCGCCUGGGGAGUACGGCCGCAAGGUUAAAAUUCAAAAGAAUUGACGGGGGCCCGCACAAGCGGAGGAGCAUGUGGUAUAAUUCGAUGCAACGCGAAGAACCUUACCUACUCUUGACAUCCAGAGAGCUUUCCAGAGAUGGAUUGGUGCCUUCGGGAACUAUGAGACAGGAGCAGCAUGGCUGUCGUCGGCUCGUGUUGUGAAAUGUUGGGUUAAGUCCCGCAACGAGCGCAACCCUUAUCCUUUGUUGCCAGCGAUUUGGUCGGGAACUCAAAGGAGACUGCCAGUGAUAAACUGGAGGAAGGUGGGGAUGACGUCAAGUCAUCAUGGCCCUUAUGACCUGGGCUACACACGUGCUACAAUGGCUGGUACAACGAGUCGCAAGCCGGUGACGGCAAGCUAAUCUCUUAAAGCCAGUCUCAGUUCGGAUUGUAGGCUGCAACUCGCCUACAUGAAGUCGGAAUCGCUAGUAAUCGCGGAUCAGCACGCCGC
rnacentral:rRNA from 1 species